AAAAACACGACGUACAUGACGUUUGGAGAUUGAACUUUUCUAGUCAUUUUAGCGCCAUUUCUACGCGCUCUGCAUAGCUGGAACAACGGCCUGACUCCAAGCUACAUUUCUUCUUGAAGCUGUCACAAAGCUGAAAAUUCUUAGGACAGUUGGAGGGCUGCUCAGAAGACGUGAAAAACAUGGUGCACCUUCUUCUCUCCUAUUUUGAUGAAAAGGAGGAGAACCUCUUCCACUAUGUCGAAGAAUCAUGUCUGGCAGACGAAGUAGUAGUGGAAAGCUUGCCUGUCACACCAUGCAUCAUUGUAUGUGGAACCUCCUGCUAUGCCUCAAGGCAGUUCAUGCUAAGUGUAGAUGGCAAGGUUGUGAAUGACCAAAUCCCAAACUUUGUUUCUGCCAUCUGUUUGAUGUUUGGAAGCUAUUACUGCCUCAAUAUCCACUAUCCUGUGGUUCUGGGCUCCACACUUGAGUUCCUUCAAAGGUGUUUCUUCCUGAUCAAUCCAGAGAAGGGUACAAAAGUUGAAACCAAGAAAAACAAGAAGCAACUUUCAGUGAACCCAAGAGUCUUUCACCCUCAUUGCAGAUGUCUCUGAUCACGAGUGGAGAGAGACAUGUUCGGGAUUGAUUUAUCCAACUGAACUGUCAAAGGACCUGUGUGUAGAAUCGAGGGGGAUUUAUUGGCAGAAAUGGAACAUUCAAAACAAGAUUUUCAUUUGUGUUUAGCUGUUUACCAUUAACAUGUUAUGUUUUCAGUUAGCUUUUGGGUAUUAUAAGCAUUUUCUGGUAGUUUCAUUGUUUUGAUAAGCAGUUGUUCGGGUUCUGUUCAAUUCAUGUCAACUGGCUUAUUGUACAUUUAAAAGCGGGGAGUUUUUCAAUUUUGUCUUGUUAUAUCUUGCCAGAACAAACUUUUCAGAUAAGCAAGGUAGGUAAGCUACUAGGAGGGACUUUGCAGAGCUUGUUGACUAGCCAUGCAUUUGAUUUCAUAAAGCUGUCCCUAAGGAAAAUUCAAGCCUUUGUUUCAGUGCUUUUGUUGUUUUGUGGCAUUUCUAAGAAGAAUCUCCUUUUAAGGUAAGUAAAUUGCACAUAUAUGUAAAUAUUUAAAUUAGUAGAAGAGCAGUUUGAACAGAUAAUUAAGACAAUGUACUCUUAUCUUGUAACAUUUAAUGAAUUUGCCCUUGCCACCUUUCAGACAUUGCAUUCAAACUUGAGGUGCUGGUUUUCAUGACACGCAGGAAAACGAAGUAGAGAGAGAGAGAGAGAGAGGAAAUACAGUGGAUUGAGAGGGAAUGAUCUGCAGCAAAGAGCCCACGAGGAAUCAAACCUUUGUAACGAUAUACAGGCUUUAACCAGGCUGCAGAGAGGAUCCUCCCAAUCCACAGUGAAGAUGGUCAACAUGAGUCCUCAAGCAGAACUUCCUGAACAGCUCCGCUUCCUGAACUGUGUGUCCGUGUGAGACCCUAUGACUCGUUAUGAUCAAGUGGCUAAUCUUUUCAUGUUUAUUCAUGAUAUACCUUCAUGUCCACAUGCUGUUUCUUCAAGAUCUCAACAAUGCCUUGUGAGUAUACGGUUAAGUUAUUGGAUCAGUGCAACCUGUUUCUCACAUAGAAUGUUAGUUUCUUAAGGUUUAUCAACGAUGGUCUGUAUCUUGAUUUACAAUAGGCGUUAUUUGAUAUUUCCAUUGUAAUUUACAAUAAGUGAAUGUUGACUAAAAUCUAUGCCAACCAAUUGUAAUACGUUGUACCAUAUUUUUUGCAACGGAAUUUGGGCAACUGCUGGCCAUUUACUUUGAACUUGGUAAUAAAAUACCGUAACUCAUA